GGGAACCUGCGGAGGGAUCAUUACCGAGUUUACAACUCCCAAACCCCUGUGAACAUACCACUUGUUGCCUCGGCGGAUCAGCCCGCUCCCGGUAAAACGGGACGGCCCGCCAGAGGACCCCUAAACUCUGUUUCUAUAUGUAACUUCUGAGUAAAACCAUAAAUAAAUCAAAACUUUCAACAACGGAUCUCUUGGUUCUGGCAUCGAUGAAGAACGCAGCAAAAUGCGAUAAGUAAUGUGAAUUGCAGAAUUCAGUGAAUCAUCGAAUCUUUGAACGCACAUUGCGCCCGCCAGUAUUCUGGCGGGCAUGCCUGUUCGAGCGUCAUUUCAACCCUCAAGCACAGCUUGGUGUUGGGACUCGCGUUAAUUCGCGUUCCCCAAAUUGAUUGGCGGUCACGUCGAGCUUCCAUAGCGUAGUAGUAAAACCCUCGUUACUGGUAAUCGUCGCGGCCACGCCGUUAAACCCCAACUUCUGAAUGUUGACCUCGGUCAGGA
rnacentral:rRNA from 1 species